rnacentral:rRNA from 1 species
UAGGGAAUCUUCGGCAAUGGGGGGAACCCUGACCGAGCAACGCCGCGUGAGUGAAGAAGGUUUUCGGAUCGUAAAGCUCUGUUGUUAAGGAAGAACGAGUGUGAGAAUGGAAAGUUCAUGCUGUGACGGUACUUAACCAGAAAGGGACGGCUAACUACGUGCCAGCAGCCGCGGUAAUACGUAGGUGGCAAGCGUUGUCCGGAAUUAUUGGGCGUAAAGCGCGCGCAGGCGGACUAGCCAGUCAGUCUUAAAAGUUCGGGGCUUAACCCCGUGAUGGGAUUGAAACUACUAGUCUAGAGUAUCGGAGAGGAAAGUGGAAUUCCUAGUGUAGCGGUGAAAUGCGUAGAUAUUAGGAAGAACACCAGUGGCGAAGGCGACUUUCUGGACGAACACUGACGCUGAGGCGCGAAAGCCAGGGGAGCGAACGGG